rnacentral:tmRNA from 2 species
GGGGGUGAUUGGUGUCGACCUAGUCGAUGCCGUCUUUGGUUGCGAGCCGAGGCGCCGCAGGCCUCGUAAAAAAGCGGCAAAAAAAUAAACGCGAACACUCAAAACUACGCGCUCGCGGCUUAAUUAGCCGCCCGUCCAUCUUGCCCCUGCCGGCCGGGCGAGAAUGGGCGUCACCAUGCCGGCUUGGCGUGUGAGGGCGGAACGCCCCCUCCACGUAACCUCUUAGGCGUUCUAGCGUUCUGCUAGCCCGGCCUCCGGGGCGGGCAGACGCGAACUUAAAACGGAGGCUACGCUCGUAGACGCCAGAGGCGAAUCCCUAGGGACGAGAGUUCGAGUCUCUCCACCUCCACUU